CUAGGGGUCCCCAGACCCCCAGAGAGGUGGCCUGAAGAGGGUGCCCUGUCAGGCUGAGGCACUCUAGGCUCUGGCUUGGGGGUGAGCGGGUGGCCCAGGAGCUGCCACCUGGGCUCCAGGUGUGUCUUUUGAGUCUGUGCUGUUCGCUGGUCAGAAAAGCUCGAACCAUCUAAGUGCUGCGCUCUCUCUUCACCCGCCCGGUCCCUGCGCACUGCAGAGCGGCGCGAGGUUAAGGGAGACCAGGGGCCGCGAUCGCCCACUUCACCCCUGCCCCCAAUUAUCAAAAUCUGCCUCUUGGGCUCAGCUCUCAACAUGGGCGCCCCUGGUUCCUAAGAAACCCCAUUCUCCCUCGGCCCUAGUCCUGACCCAGCAAAGAGUUGGGCAGUGCCCGCUCUGCACCUCUUUCCUCCACAGGGGUUUCCAGAGCCCCCCAGGAGGCGGUGCCUAUACCACUGACCUCAGCCCAGGGCACCCAUCCAAGCAGGAGAGGCACAUAAGACCUCCCUUCCCCAGGAUUCCGGGGGUCCAGAACCCCCCAAGCACCAGCAUUCUCCCCCUCCCAUCAACUCCGGGCCACAGGCCCCUGGUGGGAAGGGAGGGACCGGGUGACCCGGAGCUGGCCGCUGUGGCCUCCCCAUGCGGGCAGCAUGGCCUCGGUGGCCAGUGUGGUGUCCAGAAGAUGCAUGGUCAGUUGGGGCUUGUCCCCUCUGUGGUGACAGAGGACGCCACGGAGCUCAGGAGAGGAGGCUGUGGGGGGGAUAGGAAGGGCCAGGCCCCUACCCCAAGCCAGCGGUACCAUUUGCCUGAUAAUCAAAGAUGAACCUGCCCACCCACCUCCUGCCCCUUCUGGCCACACUUCCCAGCCACCCUGGGCCACCUUUCUGGGCCUCUGGAUCUGGAUGUGGGCACAAGCAGGGCCCUUCCCAGCCCCAGCUAAGAGAGGGGACCUUGGGGACCUUCCAGGUGGUAGCGCUACGGCUCUGGGCCAGGAAUUUUUGACGCUUCUUCCUGAGGGAAAAUUGUGGCAGGGCGGCGGGUAGGAAGGAAGCACCCCCAGUGUAUGUGUCUGUGGCCAGUGCAGGCCAUGGCUGGGGAGCAGCCCCCCGGGCACUGCCGUCACGGCCGCCGAGAAGCAGAGUCAGUGGUUGGCUUGGCAGACAGAGCUUGGGGGAGGACGACGGGGUCUCCCAGUGGUGGAAAGACAGGGGCUUGGGCUCUUCAGGUUUCCUGGGUACUGUGCUGAGGCAGGGGCUAGGCCUGGAGGGGGCAGUGGCCCUCUAUUCAAGGAGGCCGCCUGGGAAGGGAGCCACCAAGAUGGCGCAUGUUGGUCAACCAAGAUGGCAGACGGUGGUCAGCCCAGCAGAGGGUGGGCUUGGGAAGAGUGGACGGGACUUGUGAGGGGAGAUGAGCCCUGGUAUAGCUAGAUACCUUUUCUCACACGCCAGCUCUUUUCCAUUCUUUCAUUUUCAAAUUAGAGGCAGCAAAAGGACCCUUUUCCAUUGACCGAGGGAGAGAGAAAGCUGCGGGGUGGGCUAUGGCCUUCAGCUUUGAAACCCACGCCCUCCUGGGACGCCUACUUUCUUGGGACGGAAGGCUGGGAGCUGUUGGCCGAGGCAGCCUGCUGUCCUUGGGGCUGAGGGCACCAGGAGUGGCCUGGAGUACAGGUAGAAGCCUGCGGGCGGCCUGGCCCCUGCUUUCGUGGGCAGCCUGGUGGGGAGGGAGCUCGUGGCUCUCGGUUCUCGGUGCGGGGGGCUGUGAACGCGGCAAGUGCUGGGCGUCAGAGCAGUGUUCUGAGCAGGACCACACGUGUGUGUAUACGCACACGUGAGUGUGCGCUGUGACACGCACUGUAGUGUGGACUCGAGCACACACGUGCAGAGCCCAGAUCCGAGUGGAGGGACUGGCUCGUCCAGUAUUUCGAGGCCUGGGUACGUUCUUACCCCAGGGCCACAUGUAGAGUUGAAGGGGUGCGGGCAGCAAACCUCGAACGCAAGGCAACCCCACCCCCCUUGACUUUGCUAAAACUGCUCUGCGGACAGACGGGGCAGAGGUGUCCCUGCAGGGGCUGUGCUCUGCCCUGCAGAGGCCCGGAGGUCCUUGCAGCCAAGGGCUAGACCUGCUGGGCGGACUCCUCAGAAGCAGCCAAUCCUGAAGACAGUAUUUACAGGGAGGGGUUCUGGGGGCUGGUGCCCCUUUGCCUACUGGGGCUCGUCCAUGCAGAGCAUCCAACAAAGUUGGAAACCGGAAUGGAGGGCCGGUGGGGUGGGUGAAAAACAGGCCAAAUUCAGGUCCCAAGGCAGAGGCCAAGCCCAGUGCAUUUUCCUGUCCACUGCUUCAGUUUACCUGUUCAGAAAAUGGUCCAGGAAGAGCUGGGCAGGGUUGGCUCCAAAACUGGGGGUGGGGAGGUGUAACAGCAAACAAAACCCCGAGCCCUCCACUUGCUCUUUGCCAAAUCAUUUCCGUUAUCCUGAGAUGGGGGUGAGUGGAUGCUGGCUGCACAGCAGGGCUCAGAGGGGCCUCUGCCCUGCCCAGGGUUUCGCCUUGGGGGUCUGGCCCUCCCCUGGCAUACGCCCCGGGUCACCAGCAGUAGCAGCGGCACAUGCAUCUGUCCCAAGGUCUGGGCGAGGGGAGAACAGGGCAGCCCCGUACCCCAGGCCCUCACACUUUCUUUCUUUCUUGAAAAAACACAAAACCCUUGAGAUUCAUGUACUGUAUGACAGAGAGAAAAAAAGUACCUAAUGUUCCCCCCAAAAAAGACAGUAUAUUUUGUACUUUGUAAAGUGUUCAUUAAAAUGGAAGAAAAAAAUGAUGUUGGCUGACGGCUGUCUGAUUUUGUGCUGAUCCAGGGCUAUGUCUCAUCUCUCUCCCUUCUCAUACCGUGGGUGGGGGAACAUUAGGCCAGGAGCUGGGAGGAGCCAAAGCAAGAAUCCGAGAGAGGAAAUAAAUAGCCCUGAGAACGCGAGGGGCUGUAUUAGUUACCCAGUGCUGCAUAACAAGUGGCCCCAAAAUGUAAGGCUUAAAAUGAUUAUUUGUGUGUCCUGGUUUUGGUGGGUUAGGAAUUUGGGAGCCGUGUGAGCAGCUUGGGCUCAGAGUCUCUCAAGAGGCUGCAGGCAUCUGAAGCUCGGCUGGGGCUAGAGGGUCUAUUUCCAAGGUGCUUAAUCCACAUGACUGGCGAGGUGGGCCUGGCUGUCAGCAGGAAGCCUGUUCCUCUCCACGUGGGUCUCUGCUGCUUGAGUGUCCUCGUCAUAUGGCGCCUGGCUUCCCCUAGAGCAAGGGAUUCAAGGACCGAGGUAGGACCUAAAAAAAAAAAAAAGUUUUUCUUCUAGCUUCAGAAUUCACGUUCCGUCAUCUCCAUCAUGUUCUAUCGUCAUGCAGCCCAGCUCUGAUUUGACCGUGGAGGAGACCACACAGGGGUGUGAAAACCAAAAGGUCAAGGUAACCUUGGGGGCCACUUUGGAAACUGGCUUCUACACUCACCAUUCCUCCCCAAAUCUGUGGCAGAGGUGGGCCUGGGGGACCGGGGUCCCCUGGAGCAGGAUAGGACCUUGGUGGUGGCAGGGGAAGGAUCAGGGGCUGGAACCCUGCUGUGAAUGUCACACCCCCAGGAAAGGUUUCUUGGUGCUGGAAGCCCAGGAGCUGAUGCCUCCAGAUAAGACACCCUGGGGGCAGGAGGGGAGGGCACGGUGCUUGGCGUCCCUCCCACAGGCGCUCUGGGGUUGAGCUCCUGCCCCCUUGGCAGGUGGAUGCUGGAAAUGCCCAGGCAAGAAAGAGGCCUGAGACCAGCAGGUCCUGGACCUUGGAUGCCCUUCACCCUGCCCCUCUUUGAUGUUUUCCAUGGAGGGCAGGUGUGAGCAGGGCAGGGUUCUGCCUACAUUGGGCCCCACCAUCCCCUCACCCCUGCCUCACAGAAGCAGCAGCCCUGGAGAUGGAAGGGAGGGAAGAUGGGAGCUAAAGCACUCACUCACCACCCCGAGUCCAGGAAAUUCUGGCUGCUGUGAAGGCUUGCCUUUCUGGGGUUUGCAACCCUUCACAUAUCGCACUGGAGCCACAACAUGGGUGGGCACUCUUGAUUGCCCAAAACAGUAGCAAAGCCCUCCUUUUCCCACCACUCACUCAUGUUCACUGUCUCUAGGAUGGUGCCAGACCUUGUGCCCGGGACUGGAGACCCAGAUGACGCUGCUGUGGCCCCUGCGCCUGAGUUGCUCCAGGAGGUGUAAAGAUGUGAAAACAGGCUCUCCCAGGGAUUGCAGUGCCAGGCUCCACCACAAGGGGAUGCUGUGCCCUGGGGCCAUGACCACUGUCCGGCAGUAGGAGGAACAAGAAGCCAGGACGUUAGGGUUGAGCUUGGUAAGCUUAGCAGGGGGACCCAAACAGAGGGAACAGCAAAGGCGCAGAGGGCCUAGAGGGGAGCGUAGCUGGAAUGGAGAAGCAAAGUGGGAGAGGGAGGAAAUGGACGGGGCUGGUAGAAAUGAGGCUGAAAUGCAAGGUGGGUUCUCAGGCCAGCUGGGGGCCUCACAGUCUGCUACAGACCAUGGGGAGCGACGGAGGACUUCAUGCAGGAGACCAAACGUAGCAUCUGAAUGGUGAGUCUGGGUUAUUGAACAUGCCUGAUAGAAGGAGGAAAGGGGGCAGCCAGGAUCCUGGCCUCAUUUCUCAGGAGAGAUGGCCCUGGCCAACUCAAGGGCCUUCGCAGUGCAGUCAGGAAUGGCGGGUGGCAUCACAGAUGUAGAGGACUGGCUGGCAUCCCACCUUCCGAACCAUGCAUGUGCCCUUCCCCCAGCCAGGGCAUAAUUCCUCGUGGGAGCAGCUUUGGCUGCAUCUUGGCAGGGUUCUUACCCCAGCACAUUGGACUCCCCUGGAGAGUGGGGAGAGUUACCUGUGCCAGGACUCUACCCCAAAGAGUCUGAUUCAACUCAUCUUGGCUUCAGUAUAGUUUUUAAAGCUCCCCAACCCGCUCUUAAAAAGUAAUAAAAAGGGGACUUCCCUGGCAGUCCAGUGGUUAAAGACCCCAUGCUUCCAAUUCAGGGAUGCAGGGGGUGAGGGUUCGAUACCUGGUCAGGGAACUAAGAUUCCACAUGCUGUGUGGUGUGGCAAAAAAUAAUAAAAGUUUUUUAAAGAGUAAUACAAGGAAUGCAGGGCCACAGAAGGAAAGAGCACACUCUGUAGUCACUUUGCCUCCCCUUGGUUUUUAUUCAGCUGGUGGGGAAGCAGGGGCUCACGAUGGUGAACACUAGCUCUCCAAAGGGAGUGUGGAAUGAGAUCGUGGUGACGGUUGCACCACACAGAUAAUAGGCUAAAAGCACUGAAUUGCACACUUUAAAAUGGUUUUACGGUAUGUGACUCACAUCUCAAUUUUUUUUAAAAAAAUGAAUGUGGUAGAGAAGGCAAGAGGUGUGAAUGCACAGCAGGAAGGACGGCCAAGAAAAUGUGAGUUAGUCUAACAUCCCCUGAUGGUUAAAGAAAGUUCCUGUAAACACAGUGGAGGGCAGCAUAAAGGGGUAGAAAGACCACAGAGGUCUUUCCCUUGCAAAAGCUGGUCUUGGAGCCUCUCGUUGGAGAUGUUUCCCAGGAGCUGUCCACCUCAGCUGGACCAGCGGGAAGCUCUGGCAGCCAUCAGCUGGACCGCAGCCCAUCUCCCCACACUAAUGAGCACCGGGCACUGAGAGGGUCCUGAGUAGAGAGAGCUGAGGGGAAGUGAGCAGAGACGCCCUAACAGGCCUGUAGGCAGCAGCUCAAGUUGUAUUCCGGGAAGUAGAUAAUCAGUGUCUAGGAACUCAGUGUUACAGUGUGUUGUGGAUUCCACAAUACAGGUGUCAAAACUUAAAAAUUUAAAUGAAGGACCCAGCAAUCCCAAUCCGAGGUCUCUACCCAAGAAAACUGAAAACAUACUCACCCAAAAAUUUGUAUGGGAAUGUUCCCAAAAAAUCAAACUCUGGGCUAAUGUAACAUGUGUACAUGAACAUUUUGGCAUUAGCCACAAUAGCCCAAAAGUGGAGCCAACGCAAAUAUCCAUCAACUGAUGAAUGAAUAAACAAAAUGUUUAUCAGGAACAAAACAGAAACAUCCCCAGAUGAUUCUGUUACACAGGCGAGGUUGAGAGGGCCAGGGUUAAGGGGCAGAAGCUGCCUAAAGGAAUCCCAGAGUCCCCAUGGAGAACACCGCCUCCUUCGGCUGCUCUGUGGGGCAGUGGCCUCAUCCUGCUUUCCUCCAUUCUGAGGCCAGAGUGAUCAGGGGCAGUCAGCCCCAGUGCACCUGCAAGGAUGAUGCAUCCUUAUGGCCGCACCCCAAACACUGGCAGGUCCUGGCAUAUGGAGGGUGCUCCGGAGAACGUACCCCAUCAGCCUCUGCUUCUUCAACGUUCCCCCACUGGAAUGAAGGUCAACUGCAGCUAUGGGACAGCUUACGGGCAUUUUCUGACGGGCAUGGCUUCAUGUCCUCUACUCUCUGGUCUCCUGGCACUUGUGCUGCCACCAGGCUACCAGAGCGAUGGCAAGACUAAGCUACUCUACCCUCCAGCCCCGUGGGCCAGCCCCGCCCCCACCAGCUACAUCUCACCUGUUUGCCUCCUUGGCAAGACAGUGGACUCCUGGUUUGAGGAGAGCUUCUAGACGCAGAAAGCCAGUGCAAGUGUAGUGUCUUCUUCGGGGGCAAUUUCUAAGACAGAGCACCUGCACCACCUCCCCCUCAGCCCUGCCAGGACGCCGAUGCUGCUCUUCUGACCGGAUCCGAAUCCUGCCGUCCCUCCCCCGGGGCAGCGCUCAGCGGGGCAGCGUGACAGCUGCAGAGGGAUCUGUAACAGCCUGCGGAGUUUACUGAGCUUCAGAGGGAAAGGCCUCGUCCAGAUGGCCUGCCCUAAAAGCCCAGAGGCAGCAACAUCAACCGUUCAGAGACAAGUCCAUUAGGGUCUCCCGGCCACAAGGCAAACGGAUGCUAGCAACCAAGUCGUGCUACUCACCCGUCCCUAAACAAACGCCUUCAGCAAAACCUGUUACAGAAAUCACUGAACAAACAUGCGGCGGUGCCCUCAGCUCAUCGCAAAGGCCCAGAGCUGCAGAAAGCGUUCCAGGCUGGCCACAGAAGCAGAAGAAAACAUGCUGCCUGGGGUGACCAGGCCAGGUGAGCUCCUAGCAACCUCCCCGGGCCACGAGAGCACCUUUAUUGACCUUCCCCAGGAAAGGGCCGCUCUCCGCGCUGACCUGCGGCCGAGCUGUCACACUGGGGCACCUCCGUCCUUGUUCCCCAAGGGCUGUGACCGUCAGAACCCAAAGCAGAGGGAGCCACCUCACCUUGGCUGACUUGCCGGGACGAUGGUCACGGCUGCCGCUGGCCCCAGGAGCCUCUCUGGGGAGCAGCAGGUGGCUCCCGGGGCCCCAGCUCCCCCCGGCCAACUGCCUCUCACUGUCAGCCUCUGAACUGAGUCCAAGAGAAGGCUGCCCUCAGCCACGUUUUAUUUGUGGCCUCAUCAGGGUUAAAAGGAGUUUCUAUUCUAAACCAAUUUAUACUCAAAUUGUUGCAAAGGCAAACAGUUCCAGAAAACGAACCAUAUUUGGCCUGAGUGACUCUGAAAAGUUUGAGCAGAAUCAGUGUAGGAACAGCUCUCUGCACGAGGACAAGUUCCCAAGACACACACCCACCAGGUGAAGGGCAGAGGAAGGCAGAGAGGAGCGCUGGACCAGCUGUGAUCCGGCCACCAGACUUGCCGUGUCCCCACUCGGCUGUACCCGGGAUGCCCUGACCCGCGCCCAGAAGCCAGGCCACACCAGGGAGGGGAGCCGGCUCAGCCUGCGAGGAGGCCCAGCCCCUGCGGCGUGCCCUCCCCUGGGGCGUCAGAACUGCCGGGGCCUGUGGCUCCUGAAGCAGCCAGGUAAGAAAGAGGCCCAGGAAGCAGAGGGUUCCCAGCUUGUGCUCCAACCCAAGCCCCACCAGAGAGGCGCACGGCGAGGGGGAAGCGUAGUCUGCGCUCAGAGCACCGAGGUCACGUCGCAGCCCACCCACUGCGCGGCUGAGAGACUGGGCCAGCGGCUUCAAAUCCUGAGCAACAACAGAACAGACUGGAGAAAGGUCCAACUACCCAACAAGAGACUAACCUUUAAGGAAUCCAACCUAGUUGAUUGAAAACCUGGUUCCUGUCACCACCACCCUCCCAGAGCCCCAGCCUCGCAUCUUGGAGCCGGCAUGGACCUCAGCACCACGCUCCCAACCCCGACCAAAAGGUGACACGGGGGGCGAAGGAGCUCUACAGACACACAAGGGGAGACAAUGGUGUGGGGCAUGAAAGCAGCCGUCACAGGAACAGACCUGAGUGACCUUUCCCUGAUGGCAUGGAGGCCGGGAACAACACUUCAGAGGGACGUUCGGCGCAGGGGUCCGGCUUGAACAACGGGGCAUCCACCCCCAGGCCUGGCACUCCACCACAGAGGCCAAGCCUGGCCCGGCCACUUGGACAACGAAAACGCUCUCAAACCUGAUUUCACAGCUGAUCUUCGCUCUAAUUGGGAGGACACGAGGCAGAGAAAGCACCGGAGUCAGGGCCUGCCGAGCUCAGGGGAGCCAGCAGCCAGGGGGAGCUGAGAGAAAGAGCCCCUAAAACACCACAUCCUCUCCACUGGCCUCUGUAAACAGCUCCUGGCACGUCAACUUCUUCAUCUCAACCCUCUCCCUCUCGGAGCCCCGAGGCACCCGGCCUGCAGCUCGCUCGUCCCUGAGGCACCCGUGUGCCCGAGGCCAGCCUCCAAGGAGGCUUCUUACAGGCACCACAGGGACUGGAAGCCCGGGGACCCUGUGCCGGCCGGGCUGCUGCAUCAGCUUUCUUUCCAGGCUCCAAUGAGAUUGCCAAGAACUCGGCCCCUUGAAGAGGCAGCCGUAGCACAGCCCCAGGCUGCAGAGGACCUCGUGGGGUCUUACCUGUGUGGAGUCCGUGACAGAGGCCAGCUGCAGGUACUCAGAGUUCCCCCACCCGAAGAGGCUGCCAUCGACCGACACAGCCAG